UGGUACAGUACUGCAGCAACUCAGCCAGUUGUGUUGUACUUCCUAUAUAUAUUGAUCAACAACAAGCAUUAUUUCUUACAGAGCAUUAUAUAUUGAAUGGACAACGGUGGGGCUUUCCGUGAAUUGGUAGGGAAUCAACUAAAACCUUUCCAUCUUCCAUGCAUGCAAUCCGUUAUCCAUUUAUUAAUAUUCUCGAAAGAGUUUGAAUAUUUUGUUGCGCCGUAGCUUAUCACCACCAACAA
rnacentral:lncRNA from 1 species